UAAGGAAUAUUGGACAAUGGUCGCAAGACUGAUCCAGCCAUGCCGCGUGCAGGAAGACGGCCCUAUGGGUUGUAAACUGCUUUUGUACCAGAGAAAACCUAUCUACGUGUAGAUAGCCGAUAGUAUGGUAAGAAUAAGCAUCGGCUAACUUCGUGCCAGCAGCCGCGGUAAGACGAAGGAUGCAAGCGUUAUCCGGAUUCAUUGGGUUUAAAGGGUGCGUAGGCGGGCUUGUAAGUCAGUGGUGAAAUCUCUCAGCUUAACUGAGAAACUGCCAUUGAUACUGCAGGCCUAGAGUAUAGAUGACGUUGGCGGAAUAUGACAUGUAGUGGUGAAAUACUUAGAUAUGUCAUAGAACACCGAUUGCGAAGGCAGCUAACGAAACUAUAACUGACGCUGAGGCACGAAAGUGCGGGGAUCAAACA
rnacentral:rRNA from 1 species